AUGGCCUUUGUAUUGAGGUAUGCUGUAUAUGGGUUAAGCGCCGCCGCCUUGUCUUCCGGGGCCAGCGUGAACGCCCUGCAGCGCCUGGUGGAGCAGCUCAAGCUGGAGGCCGGCUUGGAGAGGAUCAAGGUCUCGCAGGCAGCUGCAGAGCUUCAACAGUACUGCAUGCAGAAUGCCUGCAAGGAUGCCUUGCUGGUAGGUGUUCCAGCUGGAAGCAACCCCUUCCGGGAGCCGAGAUCCUGUGCUUUAUUCUAAAGGCUGUAAGGAAGAAGUUCACUGAGGAAUGCUUUUAAGCGCAAAGUGAUGAAUAACUAACUGCCUCCAAGUCUCAAGAAAACACUUUUCUCCAGACAAAUGACUCUUAGAUAUUUCAGACCUUUCCUUGGCCUGGUCCUAUAGCCAAAAUUCUAUAGAAAUUGAUGAGUUUCUACUCAGAUAAGGAAACUGGGUGAGGGCAAAGACUUUAGAUAAUAAUGGUCAGACUCUUUUGGUAAAGUGCUUUUGUAUUAAACAAAAAUGUUACCACCAAAUACACCUCUUUCAUAAGUGAAUUACUGGUGUUUCUAUAGCUGGAAUAUUAUGUUUGUUGUAUUUACUGGAUGUUUACAUUUUGGGAAGGCAAACAUUUUUGUUUGUUAAAAAAUUGAAUAUUUGUAAUUUGUUGCUCCUAAGAUUUUUAUACCAUAACAAAACUGUUCUUUUCUCCUGAAUUUACAGUUUCUAAAUGAAGACAAGCAAGUGUAAAACUGGGGGAAGAAUAGGCUUUAUUAGUCAAAUGAUGUCUUGAUUUUUCUAAAUGAGAAGAUUGCUUUAUUUUUAA